rnacentral:lncRNA from 13 species
AAAAAAAAAAAAAAAAAAAAAAAAAAGCCGCCAGGCACACUAUAAUCCCAGAACUUUGGCAGGAGAAUCACUUGAAGCCAGGAGUUUGAGAUCAGUCUAGGAAACAUAGGGAGACACAGUCUCUACAAAAAAUCCAAAAUUAAGUUAAAUUGGUCAGGCGGGGUGGCUCAUGCCUGUAAUCCCAGCACUUUGGGAGGUUGAGGCAGGUGGAUCAUGAGGUCAGGAGUUUGAGACCAUCCUGACCAACAUGGUGAACUCCCAUCUCUAUUUAAAAAUACAAAAAUUAGCCAGAUGCGGUGGCACAUGCCUGUAAUCCCAGCUUCUCAGGAGGCUGAGGCAGGAGAAUAGCUUGAACGGGGAACCUGGGGGGUGGAGGUUGCAGUGAGCCAAGAUCAUGCCACUGCACUCCAGCCUGGGCCACAGAAUGAGACUCCAUCUCAAAAAAUAAUUAAAUUAAAUUGAAAGCAAACAAAAAUACCUGGGUAUGGUGGUGCACACCUGUUGUCCUAGCUACUCAGGAGGCUAAGGUCAGACAAUCGCUUGAGUCUGGGAGUUGCAGACUGCAGUGAGCUAUGAUUGCGCCACUGCUGUCCAGCCUGGGUGACAGAGCAAGGUCCUGUCUCUGAAAAAAAGGUAAAAAAAAAAAAAAAAAGAGGAAGAGAAUAGAUGUAUGUAUUCUUCAUUUUAUUUUGUUUUUUAAAGGAUUCGGAAAAUUGAAUGCAUGGAAUUUGUUUUGCUUUAUCACAAUGAGAAACAGUUGCCAUCCCUUUUUAUGUGAAGCUGCUCUUCUUAUUAGAUUACUGGUUUUGCCAGUUGUCCCAACCAUGUCCUUCAGCAAGCAAGACCUUCAGAUCAGAGUCAGGCACUGCACUGAGCUAAGGCGUCUUCAGUAUGAUUUAGACUGGGACAGUUCCUGGGACCUUGACCCUCCGGGAGCUGACAGGUCAGUUAUUUUGCAGAAAGCUCCUCACUCAGGCCUGACACUUCUCAUGAUUCACUCAGGCUCUGUCUCCUUGGUGAUGCUGUGUCUUUUUGUGUGUCAUAGAAGGUCAUAA